rnacentral:tRNA from 1 species
GCUCGCACAGCUUGUUUUUAAGCACAACAUUUAAAUGUUAGAAUGAGCCAUAGAAAGCUCCGCCAGCA